GACGUAGGGCGCGAGCGUUGUCCGGAUUUAUUGGGCGUAAAGAGCUCGUAGGCGGCUCGUUGCGUCAAUCGUGAAAGCCCGAGGCUCAACCUCGGAACUGCCUUCGAUACUGCGGGUCUCGAGUCCGGGAGAGGUGAGUGGAAUUCCUAGUGUAGAGGUGAAAUUCGUAGAUAUUAGGAAGAACACCAGUGGCGAAGGCGGCUCACUGGCCCGGUACUGACGCUGAGGCGCGAAAGCGUGGGGAGCAAACAGG
rnacentral:rRNA from 1 species